rnacentral:rRNA from 1 species
AGCUCCAAUAGCGUAUAUUAAAGUUGCUGCAGUUAAAAAGCUCGUAGUUGCAUUUCCGAGGCAAGGGAUUAGUCCGACCUUUGGUGGGUAUUUAAUCCUCUUGCCUCGUCCUUGAGUGGUGCUUCUUGGUAUUAAGUUAUCGAGGAGAUAGCCGCUCAUCGUUUACUGUGAGAAAAUUAGAGUGUUCAAAGCAGGCUUAUGCCGUUGAAUAUAUUAGCAUGGAAUAAUAAGAUAGGACCUCGGUACUAUUUUGUUGGUUUGAGAACCAAGGUAAUGAUGAAUAGGGACAGUUGGGGGUAUUCGUAUUCAGUUGUCAGAGGUGAAAUUCUUAGAUUUACGGAAGACGAACUACUGCGAAAGCAUUUACCAAGGAUGGUUGCA